rnacentral:rRNA from 1 species
UACGGAGGGGGCUAGCGUUGUUCGGAAUUACUGGGCGUAAAGCGCACGUAGGCGGCUUUGCAAGUUAGAGGUGAAAGCCCUGGGCUCAACCCGGGAAUUGCGCUUGAGACUGGUGUGCUAGAGUACGGGAGAGGAUAGUGGAAUUCCCAGUGUAGAGGUGAAAUUCGUAGAUAUUGGGAAGAACACCGGUGGCGAAGGCGGCUAUCUGGACCGUAACUGACGCUGAGGCGCGAAAGCGUGGGGAGCAAACAGG